GUGGCCAUUGCUCACCUGCAUAAAACCGAGGGGGAAAGGCCGCGUGAAUCCGAACUCAAAUUCAAGCCGUGCUGGAAAGGAGCGUGACACUCGAGUCUGAAAGCAGUCAAGAUAAAGAAUCACCAGUGGACGGCGGUGACAAAGGAAGGCUUUACAUCUUUGCUGGUCAAGAGCAAAAACAGAGAUCGAAACUUACGAUUUUCUAUAGAAGAGUCGGGAGGAACUAAUCCUGAGAGAUCAAACAAGAGCGAGUGGAAAGGCACACACAGGCCCGUCAGCCGUCACAUCUUGCCCGUCAUCAUGAAGGCAUCCAUACUGGUCCUUUUCAGCGCCACUCUCCUCAUCCUCAUACUCCAGAGCAGAAGUACGCAGGCGCGCGAGUUUGAUGACUUGAUGGAGAGGCGAGCAGGGGGAGCGACCAAUUGGGAAAACGAGGACAACGUCGA